rnacentral:rRNA from 1 species
UACGUAGGGGGCUAGCGUUGUCCGGAAUCAUUGGGCGUAAAGAGCGUGUAGGCGGCCCGGUAAGUCCGCUGUGAAAGUCGGGGGCUCAACCCUCGAAUGCCGGUGGAUACUGUCGGGCUAGAGUGCGGAAGAGGCGAGUGGAAUUCCUGGUGUAGCGGUGAAAUGCGUAGAUAUCUGGAGGAACACCGGUGGCGAAGGCGGCAUCCUGGACCAACACUGACGCUGAGUGAGCGAAAGCCAGGGGAGCAAACGGG